rnacentral:rRNA from 1 species
AUUGAACGCUGGCGGCAGGCCUAACACAUGCAAGUCGAACGAGUGGCGGACGGGUGAGUAAUGUCUGGGAAACUGCCUGAUGGAGGGGGAUAACUACUGGAAACGGUAGCUAAUACCGCAUACCAUCGGAUGUGCCAAGAUGGGAUUAGCUCGUAGGUGGGGUAACGGCUCCCCUAGGCGACGAUCCCUAGCUGUUCUGAGAGGAGUACCAUCCACACUGGAACUGAGACACGGUCCAGACUCCUACGGGAGGCAGCAUUGGGGAAUAUUGCCCAAUGGGCGCAAGCCUGAUGCAGCCAUGCCGCGUGUAUGAAGAAGGCCGUCGGGUUGUAAAGUACUUUCAGCGGGGAGGCGUUACCCGCAGAAGAAGCACCGGCUAAGUCCGUGCCAGCAGCCGCGGUAAUAC